rnacentral:sRNA from 1 species
CUCCUCACGAGGUGGGGGCUCACGCCAAUA